GAUGAACGCUGGCGGCGUGCUUAACACAUGCAAGUCGAACGAUGAAAGCGGGAGCUUGCUCCUGCUGGAUUAGUGGCGAACGGGUGAGUAACACGUGAGCAAUCUGCCCCGAACUCUGGGAUAAGCGUUGGAAACGACGUCUAAUACCGGAUACGACGCGCGAAGGCAUCUUCUGCGCGUGGAAAGAAUUUCGGUUCGGGAUGAGCUCGCGGCCUAUCAGCUAGUUGGUGAGGUAACGGCUCACCAAGGCGACGACGGUUAGCCGGCCUGGGAGGGUGACCGGCCACACUGGGACUGAGACACGGCCCAGACUCCUACGGGAGGCAGCAGUGGGGAAUAUUGCACAAUGGGCGAAAGCCUGAUGCAGCAACGCCGCGUGAGGGACGACGGCCUUCGGGUUGUAAACCUCUUUUAGUAGGGAAGAAGCGAAAGUGACGGUACCUGCAGAAAAAGCACCGGCUAACUACGUGCCAGCAGCCGCCGUAAGAC
rnacentral:rRNA from 1 species